rnacentral:rRNA from 1 species
AGAGUUUGAUCCUGGCUCAGAUUGAACGCUGGCGGCAUGCCUUACACAUGCAAGUCGAACGGCAGCGGACCUUCGGGUGCCGGCGAGUGGUGAACGGGUGAGUAAUGUAUCGGAACGUACCUUUCAGUGGGGGAUAACGUAGCGAAAGUUACGCUAAUACCGCAUAUUCUGUGCGCAGGAAAGCAGGGGAUCGCAAGACCUUGCGCUGAUUGAGCGGCCGAUAUCAGAUUAGCUAGUUGGUGAGGUAAAGGCUCACCAAGGCGACGAUCUGUAGCGGGUCUGAGAGGAUGAUCCGCCACACUGGAACUGAGACACGGUCCAGACUCCUACGGGAGGCAGCAGUGGGGAAUUUUGGACAAUGGGGGCAACCCUGAUCCAGCCAUGCCGCGUGAGUGAAGAAGGCCUUCGGGUUGUAAAGCUCUUUCGGCCGGGAAGAAAUCGCAUGGGUUAAUACCCUGUGCGGAUGACGGUACCGGCAUAA